UUAAGCGACUAAGCGUACACGGUGGAUGCCCUGGCAGUCAGAGGCGAUGAAGGACGUGCUAAUCUGCGAUAAGCGUCGGUAAGGUGAUAUGAACCGUUAUAACCGGCGAUUUCCGAAUGGGGAAACCCAGUGUGAUUCGUCACACUAUCAUUAACUGAAUCCAUAGGUUAAUGAGGCGAACCGGGGGAACUGAAACAUCUAAGUACCCCGAGGAAAAGAAAUCAACCGAGAUUCCCCCAGUAGCGGCGAGCGAACGGGGAGCAGCCCAGAGCCUGAAUCAGUGUGUGUGUUAGUGGAAGCGUCUGGAAAGGCGUGCGAUACAGGGUGACAGCCCCGUACACAAAAAUGCACAUACUGUGAGCUCGAUGAGUAGGGCGGGACACGUGGUAUCCUGUCUGAAUAUGGGGGGACCAUCCUCCAAGGCUAAAUACUCCUGACUGACCGAUAGUGAACCAGUACCGUGAGGGAAAGGCGAAAAGAACCCCGGCGAGGGGAGUGAAAAAGAACCUGAAACCGUGUACGUACAAGCAGUGGGAGCACGCUUAGGCGUGUGACUGCGUACCUUUUGUAUAAUGGGUCAGCGACUUAUAUUCUGUAGCAAGGUUAACCGAAUAGGGGAGCCGAAGGGAAACCGAGUCUUAACUGGGCGUUAAGUUGCAGGGUAUAGACCCGAAACCCGGUGAUCUAGCCAUGGGCAGGUUGAAGGUUGGGUAACACUAACUGGAGGACCGAACCGACUAAUGUUGAAAAAUUAGCGGAUGACUUGUGGCUGGGGGUGAAAGGCCAAUCAAACCGGGAGAUAGCUGGUUCUCCCCGAAAGCUAUUUAGGUAGCGCCUCGUGAAUUCAUCUCCGGGGGUAGAGCACUGUUUCGGCAAGGGGGUCAUCCCGACUUACCAACCCGAUGCAAACUGCGAAUACCGGAGAAUGUUAUCACGGGAGACACACGGCGGGUGCUAACGUCCGUCGUGAAGAGGGAAACAACCCAGACCGCCAGCUAAGGUCCCAAAGUCAUGGUUAAGUGGGAAACGAUGUGGGAAGGCCCAGACAGCCAGGAUGUUGGCUUAGAAGCAGCCAUCAUUUAAAGAAAGCGUAAUAGCUCACUGGUCGAGUCGGCCUGCGCGGAAGAUGUAACGGGGCUAAACCAUGCACCGAAGCUGCGGCAGCGACGCUUAUGCGUUGUUGGGUAGGGGAGCGUUCUGUAAGCCUGCGAAGGUGUGCUGUGAGGCAUGCUGGAGGUAUCAGAAGUGCGAAUGCUGACAUAAGUAACGAUAAAGCGGGUGAAAAGCCCGCUCGCCGGAAGACCAAGGGUUCCUGUCCAACGUUAAUCGGGGCAGGGUGAGUCGACCCCUAAGGCGAGGCCGAAAGGCGUAGUCGAUGGGAAACAGGUUAAUAUUCCUGUACUUGGUGUUACUGCGAAGGGGGGACGGAGAAGGCUAUGUUGGCCGGGCGACGGUUGUCCCGGUUUAAGCGUGUAGGCUGGUUUUCCAGGCAAAUCCGGAAAAUCAAGGCUGAGGCGUGAUGACGAGGCACUACGGUGCUGAAGCAACAAAUGCCCUGCUUCCAGGAAAAGCCUCUAAGCAUCAGGUAACAUCAAAUCGUACCCCAAACCGACACAGGUGGUCAGGUAGAGAAUACCAAGGCGCUUGAGAGAACUCGGGUGAAGGAACUAGGCAAAAUGGUGCCGUAACUUCGGGAGAAGGCACGCUGAUAUGUAGGUGAAGUCCCUCGCGGAUGGAGCUGAAAUCAGUCGAAGAUACCAGCUGGCUGCAACUGUUUAUUAAAAACACAGCACUGUGCAAACACGAAAGUGGACGUAUACGGUGUGACGCCUGCCCGGUGCCGGAAGGUUAAUUGAUGGGGUUAGCGCAAGCGAAGCUCUUGAUCGAAGCCCCGGUAAACGGCGGCCGUAACUAUAACGGUCCUAAGGUAGCGAAAUUCCUUGUCGGGUAAGUUCCGACCUGCACGAAUGGCGUAAUGAUGGCCAGGCUGUCUCCACCCGAGACUCAGUGAAAUUGAACUCGCUGUGAAGAUGCAGUGUACCCGCGGCAAGACGGAAAGACCCCGUGAACCUUUACUAUAGCUUGACACUGAACAUUGAGCCUUGAUGUGUAGGAUAGGUGGGAGGCUUGGAAGUGUGGACGCCAGUCUGCAUGGAGCCGACCUUGAAAUACCACCCUUUAAUGUUUGAUGUUCUAACGUUGACCCGUGAUCCGGGUUGCGGACAGUGUCUGGUGGGUAGUUUGACUGGGGCGGUCUCCUCCUAAAGAGUAACGGAGGAGCACGAAGGUUGGCUAAUCCUGGUCGGACAUCAGGAGGUUAGUGCAAUGGCAUAAGCCAGCUUGACUGCGAGCGUGACGGCGCGAGCAGGUGCGAAAGCAGGUCAUAGUGAUCCGGUGGUUCUGAAUGGAAGGGCCAUCGCUCAACGGAUAAAAGGUACUCCGGGGAUAACAGGCUGAUACCGCCCAAGAGUUCAUAUCGACGGCGGUGUUUGGCACCUCGAUGUCGGCUCAUCACAUCCUGGGGCUGAAGUAGGUCCCAAGGGUAUGGCUGUUCGCCAUUUAAAGUGGUACGCGAGCUGGGUUUAGAACGUCGUGAGACAGUUCGGUCCCUAUCUGCCGUGGGCGCUGGAGAACUGAGGGGGGCUGCUCCUAGUACGAGAGGACCGGAGUGGACGCAUCACUGGUGUUCGGGUUGUCAUGCCAAUGGCACUGCCCGGUAGCUAAAUGCGGAAGAGAUAAGUGCUGAAAGCAUCUAAGCACGAAACUUGCCCCGAGAUGAGUUCUCCCUGACUCCUUGAGAGUCCUGAAGGAACGUUGAAGACGACGACGUUGAUAGGCCGGGUGUGUAAGCGCAGCGAUGCGUUGAGCUAACCGGUACUAAUGAACCGUGAGGCUUAACCUU
rnacentral:rRNA from 1 species